rnacentral:tRNA from 1 species
GCAUCGGUGGUUUAGCGGUAGAAUGCUCGCUUGCCACGCGGGCGCCCCGGGUUCGAUUCCCGGCCGAUGCA